GAAAGAAACUGGGUUUUUGGCAUCACACGCCUUGCAUGAGUUCGGCUGUCGAGACGCCAAGGGCUUUGGCAAUGGCUCCGACGUUUCGCAAUCCGACAUUCCGCUUGCCCCGCUCGAUUCCGCUGAUGUAGGUCCGGUCGAGAUUGCACUUGGCCGCGAAAUCUUCUUGAGAAAGGCCAAGGGCCAUUCUCAUUUCUCGAACUCGGUUGCCGAAGGAUUGGAGAAUGCCAUUGCUGUUUCCAUUUUCGGAAUGGUAGCGGCAUCUUGGACCAUGAGUCCACGGCUUAUGAGUCAACGGACUAUGAGUAACAAGCCCGGUCUGGCUUCUGAGUGCCACAUGAGAACCAACGACCCUCAGCGCCCGCUAUUGUCACGCCUUCCGCCGCUACAGCAG
rnacentral:rRNA from 1 species